AUUGAACGCUAGCGGGAUGCUUUACACAUGCAAGUCGAACGAGUGGCGGACGGGUGAGUAAUAUAUCGGAACGUUCCCAGUAGCGGGGGCUAAAUAGUCGAAAGAGUGUCUAAUACCGAAUACUAUAGGAGCGACCUAUAUCGGAUGAGCGAGUUGGGGGGGUAAAGGCUCACAAAGGCAACGAUCCGUAGCUGGUUUGAGAGGAAGACCAGCCACACUGGGACUGAGACACGGCCCAGACUCCUACGGGAGGCAGAAGUGGGGAAUUUUGGAAAAUGGGGGAAACCCUGAUCCAGCCAUCCCGCGUGUAUGAGAAGGCCUUCGGGUUGUAAAGUACUUUUGGCAGAGAAGCGGUAUCUGCAGAAUAAGCACCGGCUAACUACGUGCCAGCAGCCGCGGUAAUAC
rnacentral:rRNA from 1 species